GAAUAUUGGGGGUUAUCAUCAUCAUUUGUGGUGGCAGGUUUCCACCUAGAUGAACCACAAUAGCUACAAGUAUCCUCCUUUGUUUUGUCCUUCCAAAAUAACAUGCAUCCUUUUGAACAAGCAUGAAUUUUUUCAUAUUUCAAACCUAAUGCUCUAAUUAGCUUCUUCAUCUCAUAAAAUGAUUUGGAUAUAGUAUUUUUUGUAGAAUAUGACUCCUUCAACAACUCUAACAACAUGUUGAAUGCAUUGUUGUUCCAACCCCCAAGGCAUUUUAUGUGGUAGAGGGUAACAAGAUAAGCUAAUUUUGAGUACUUUAUGCAACUAGGAUAUAAUGGUUGUUUAGAAUCCUCCACCAUAUCAUUGUAUGUAUGCACUCUUUGGAGAGAAUUAAUAUCAGUGCACUGGUCAUCAUCCUCCUC
rnacentral:lncRNA from 1 species